GAUGAACGCUAGCGGGAGGCUUAACACAUGCAAGUCGAGGGGCAUCACGGGGUAGCAAUACUCUGGUGGCGACCGGCGCACGGGUGAGUAACGCGUAUGUAACCUACCCUGUACAGGGGGAUAGCCCGGAGAAAUUCGGAUUAAUACCCCAUAAUAAUAUUGGAAGGCAUCUUUUGAUAUUUAAAGUUACGGCGGUACAGGAUGGGCAUGCGUGACAUUAGCUAGUUGGUAGGGUAACGGCCUACCAAGGCUACGAUGUCUAGGGGUCCUGAGAGGGUGAUCCCCCACACUGGUACUGAGACACGGACCAGACUCCUACGGGAGGCAGCAGUGAGGAAUAUUGGUCAAUGGACGGAAGUCUGAACCAGCCAUCCCGCGUGCAGGAAGAAGGCGCUAUGCGUUGUAAACUGCUUUUCCAGGGGAAGAAAUUUUCGCACGUGUGCGGAAUUGACGGUACCUUGGGAAUAAGCAUCGGCUAACUCCGUGCCAGCAGCCGCGGUAAUAC
rnacentral:rRNA from 1 species